rnacentral:misc_RNA from 1 species
GAUGAAGAACGUAGCGAAAUGCGAUAAGUAAUGUGAAUUGCAGAAUUCAGUGAAUCAUCGAAUCUUUGAACGCACCUUGCGCCCUUUGGCUAUUCCAGAGGGCAUGCCUGUUUGAGUAUCAUGAACACCUCAACUCUCAUGGUUCUGCCAUGAUGAGCUUGGACUUUGGAGGUCUUGCUGGCCCCUGUGGUCAGCUCCUCUCAAAUGGAUCAGCUUGCCAGUGUUUGGUGGCAUCACAGGUGUGAUAACUAUCUACGCUUGUGGUUUUCCACCAGGUAACCUUCAGUGAUGGAGGUUCGCUGGAGCUCAUAAACGUCUCUCCUCAGCGAGGACAGCUUCUUGAAUGUUUGAUCUCAAAUCAGGUAGGGCUACCCGCUGAACUUAAGCAUAUCAAUAGCGGAGGA